UUUGCUGACCGCAGGCGGCUCCCCGCGCCCGCCUACAACCCCGGACAAAGGGGUUGGCUGUCGACUCAUGAUAUUGCACUCAAAUCCAUGUCUAAGAAGCUUUCCCCCAGGUUUAUCGGUCCUUUCGAGGUGGAGUCAGUUCUCAGUCCGUCUGCCGUUCGCCUCCGUCUUCCAGCCUCACUCCGCAUCCAUCCCACUUUUCAUGUCUCUCAGUUGAAGGCUGUUCAGACCAGCGACCUUUCCCCUCCUGAGUCUCCGCCUCCCCCCCGAGAUAUCGACGGCCAUCCCGCCUACACUGUCCGCCUGAUUGUGUACUCCCGUCGGCGAGGUCGUGGUUGGCAGUAUCUCGUUGAUUGGGAGGGCUACGGUCCGGAGGAUCGCAUGUGGGUCCCUGGCUCCUUUAUUUUGGACCCAACCAUGAUUUCGGAUUAUCUGUCCUCUAUUCCUUCUUGCUCUUCUCGGCCGCCAGGUGGCGACCGUUGAGGGGGGGGUACUGUUAGGUUUUGGGUGGCUCAGCUGUCUCCCCACUAGAUGGAGUUAGAGGUGCGGACUGCACUUUCUGGGAUGACAUCACUCUCACACCGGAGGCUGAUCGGGUAAUUGGCGGCAGCAUAAGAAGGGUGGAACGCCAGUACUUCGACGCCAGAGUGUCACCGUUGAUGGUACCUCCAGCCCCUCGGAGUUCUGCUCCAAGUUUCUUUGUGUGAAAUCUGCCAGUUAUUCCCGUAUCUCGACGCGUUCCUAAUUGUGGAUUUUUUUUUCCCUGCUCCCCACAGGAUCCAUCCAAGUCUGGUCAUCUGUUUUCUGGUUCCCUGCAAGUCUGAAGCUUCCGACCGGCCGUUCCACCCACACCCUGCCGCCUUCAAAGAUAAGCCGUCCUGUCCCCCCUCCAACGCCACAUCUUCCUCCCACCAGUUAUUCCCCUCCAAGCCGUUUUCGUACACACAAGCCAUGCUCCGAGAGCAGCCGAGCAGUCCCUGGACCAGUUUCUUUAUCUGUUGCCGUUGUAAAUAAAUCAUUCAUUUUUA